rnacentral:rRNA from 1 species
AGAGUUUGAUCCUGGCUCAGGAUGAACGCUAGCGGCAGGCCUAACACAUGCAAGUCGAGGGGUAACAGGGAAGCUUGCUCCCGCUGACGAGUGGCGCACGGGUUAGUAACGCGUAUGCAACCUACCUUUAACUGGAGGAUAGCCCCGAGAAAUCGGGAUUAAUACUUCAUAACAUUAUGAAACGACAUCGUUUUAUAUUUAAAGCUCCGGCGGUUAAAGAUGGGCAUGCGUGACAUUAGAUAGUUGGUGAGGUAACGGCUCACCAAGUCCACGAUGUCUAGGGGUUCUGAGAGGAUUAUCCCCCACACUGGUACUGAGACACGGACCAGACUCCUACGGGAGGCAGCAGUAAGGAAUAUUGGGCAAUGGACGAAAGUCUGACCCAGCCAUGCCGCGUGCAGGAUGACAGCCCUAUGGGUCGUAAACUGCUUUUAUAAGAGAAGAAACCUUCGGACGUGUCCGAGGCCUGACGGUAUCUUAUGAAUAAGCACCGGCUAACUCCGUGCCAGCAGCCGCGGUAAUACGGAGGGUGCAAGCGUUAUCCGGAUUUAUUGGGUUUAAAGGGUGCGCAGGCGGCUUAUUAAGUCAGUGGUGAAAUCUCUCGGCUCAACCGAGAAACUGCCAUUGAAACUGUUAGUCUUGAGUACAGUUGUAGUGGGCGGAAUAUAGCAUGUAGCGGUGAAAUGCUUAGAUAUGCUAUAGAACACCGAUUGCGAAGGCAGCUUACUAAACUAUCACUGACGCUCAUGCACGAAAGCGUGGGGAGCAAACAGGAUUAGAUACCCUGGUAGUCCACGCCGUAAACGAUGAUAACUCGAUGUUGGCAAUACACCGUCAGCGUCCAAGCGAAAGCGUUAAGUAAUCCACCUGGGGAGUACGAUCGCAAGAUUGAAACUCAAAGGAAUUGACGGGGGCCCGCACAAGCGGAGGAGCAUGUGGUUUAAUUCGAUGAUACGCGAGGAACCUUACCUGGGCUCAAAUGUAUUUUGACAACUCCGGAAACGGAGCUUUUCUUCGGAACAAUUUACAAGGUGCUGCAUGGUUGUCGUCAGCUCGUGCCGUGAGGUGUCGGGUUAAGUCCCAUAACGAGCGCAACCCCUAUCUUUAGUUGCCAUCAGGUAAUGCUGGGGACUCUAAAGGAACUGCCUGCGCAAGCAGAGAGGAAGGUGGGGAUGACGUCAAAUCAGCACGGCCCUUAUGUCCAGGGCUACACACGUGCUACAAUGGUCGGUACAGAGGGCAGCUACCUAGCAAUAGGAUGCAAAUCUCAAAAGCCGAUCUCAGUUCGGAUCGGAGUCUGCAACUCGACUCCGUGAAGUUGGAUUCGCUAGUAAUCGUAUAUCAGCAAUGAUACGGUGAAUACGUUCCCGGGCCUUGUACACACCGCCCGUCAAGCCAUGGAAGCCGAGGGUACCUGAAGUUCGUGACCGUAAGGAGCGACCUAGGGUAAAAUUGGUAACUGGGGCUAAGUCGGAACAAGGUAGCC